CAUGGGCAGAGAGACAAUGCUGACCUCGUUUGCUCUUUCCUGCAGGGACUCUCAGGCAGGUGACCUGCUGGUAAAACACAGAGAUGGGCUGAUACUGCCUUUGUAAUCACUGAAAGGCAGAGGAGAAUAUCUAGGUCUUCCAGACAGAAGCGGCCAGCAUGGAGGCCCUGCUCAACCUGAACGAGGAGCGAGGCUCGUCCAGGAAACCUGCUGUGCACCUGCGGCCCAACGCCUGGCCUCAAAGACAAGAAGGGGGAAGCCCUUCCUCAUGAUGCCUCAAAUGUACUCCUGGUGGCGAACCUGUGUGAGAAAUCACAGCCUCUAAAGGUUUCUAUUUCCCAUUGUUCUUUCUGCUCACCGGGCAGCAGAACGGCAAGUGCAAAGGCUGGCCUGAGUGCACAGAGAGCAGACACGCAUGACACCGGUGAACAAGGGCACACCCAGCUUCUUCACGACACGGAUGACACUGGUGAACCAGGGCACACCCAGCUUCUUCACGACACGGAUGACACUGGUGAACCAGGGCACACCCAGCUUCUUCACAUCACGUAUGACACCCCGUGAACCAGGGCACACCCAGCCUCUUCACAUCACGUAUGACACCCCGUGAACCAGGGCACACCCAGCCUCUUCACAUCACGUAUGACACCCCGUGAACCAGGGCACACCCAGCCUCUUCACUCCUCACCGCGAGAGCAGCACGAAGCCAGGAGAGGCUCCUCCCCUCCAGACCAGACCUUCACCGGGAGGAGGCAAAACCUCUUCCAAAGCUGGACUUCCCUAUAAGGAAGAUGAGCACACUUGUCUCAUGGUUUCCAAGGCCUCAACUUGAAAAACAGGGACCCGACGACACACACUGCUGUUACAAAAUCGGUGACCUCGAAAUCUCAAGAAAUCACAAGAGGAGAUUCUUAUGCAUAAGAGACCAGACUUGGAUAUUUCUUUUUAUACCCUUAAUUGGUUAUAAAAAUGGAAAUAAACCACAAUAGACAAAUGUUCAAAUCCGCUUGGUCUCCCAGCAGUGGGCUUUGCUGGUGACAGACCUGAGAGUAAUGAAACCUGCUGAAGUUAAAACGUGUAUCCUCAAACAGUUUCUAAGUGAAAAGCAAAGAAAUACACAUAGGAGACAGAUUAAAGAUUACAAAACGAGGGCCAG